UCCUGCCGGAGGCUACUGCUAUCGGGUUUCGACUAAGCCAUGCGAGUCACGGGGUCGCAAGACACCGGCAUACGGCUCUUUAACACGUGGAUAAUCUACCCUUGGGUGGAGAAUAACCUCGGGAAACUGAGGCUAAUGAGCCAUAGACAUUCUAUGACUGAAUGCUUGAAUGUUGAAAGCGCAAAGCGCCCAAGGAUGAGUCUGCGGCCUAUCAUGGUUGUAGGCGGUGUAACGGACCACCUAGCCUAUGACGGGUACGGGCACUGAGAGGUGGAGCCCGGAGAUGGACUCUGAGACACGAGUCCAGGCCCUACGGGGCGCAGCAGGCGCGAAAACUACGCACUGCGCGAAAGCGCGACGUGGGAAACCCGAGUGCCUUUUCUUUUUUGAAAAGGCUUUUCUCAAGCCUAAAAAGCUUGGGGAAUAAGAGCUGGGCAAGACGGGUGCCAGCCGCCGCGGUAAUACCCGCAGCUCGAGUGGUAGCCGCUAUUAUUGAGCCUAAAGCGUUUGUAGCCGGCCUUGUAAAUCCUUGGGUAAAUCGAGUCGCUUAACGGUUCGAAUUUCAGGGAGACUGCAAGGCUUGAGACCGGGAGAGGUCAGAGGUACUUUCGAGGUAGGAGUAAAAUCCCGUAAUCCCGAAGGGACCACCUGUGGCGAAGGCGUCUGACUAGAACGGCUCUGACGGUGAGGAACG
rnacentral:rRNA from 1 species